UUUCAUAAUACUAAAACUUUUUUGGAUUUCCAGACAACAACAAAAUUGCAAAUACAUCUUACAUUAUUACUGAAAUAUAAUUAGAUUACAUUUUCAUUAUUCUUGUUUUCUAUACAAUAUUAAAACAUUAAUGUACAAAAUUUAAUUUUAAAAUAUGGAGGCUGAAAACCAAACCUAGCCAUGAUGUGGAAAAAGUUACCAGGAUAACAAGGGAGACGACGAGAAUACAGUAUUACAUACAUGUUCCACCAUUGGAGCAGAGAAGAAUAUAAAGUACUAAGUGUUUGCCCCAUUGCCAUGGAAAAAAAACCUACUGUUGUAAUAUAUGAGCGUGAUAUCAUUUUGUGAUUUUACCUCAUUUAAAUAUAUAUGAUCACAUGGCCAUUUUUUUUUACCGAAACCUUCCAAUUUCAUAGAAAAUGUCCCAUAAUUUCGAUAAAAAUUUUAAAAAAUCUUUGGCCCUUAAUGGUAUACUUUUGAGGACAAAUUUGUGCUAUCAUUAAACUUUAUUCAUGAUGCUUUCCAGGAGAAAUAUAUAUAACUGAUAUAACAACCAAUCAUUAAUAGCCAGCUAUUUUAAUCUCUAUGUCAUGUCCCCUUCACAAAUGACUGCGCCUAUGUAGCAUUUUGAUAUUUUUUACAAUUAGCAGACAGACCAUAAAUAGUAAAAAAAAAUAUCAUAAGGACUUAAGGGCUACGGUUCUGCAGCUAGCGCCCAGGUUACUUGAUUUAUUACAUUAUAACCAGAACAACCAUUCUUCUACCAUCAAUUAUAUUUGAUCAUUGUACCUUUUCUGAUUAGUGUUUUGUUGACUGAUGUGCAGAUGUGUUUUCUAUCGUGUUGCCAUUGUGUUGUUUGCUUACAUCAACAGUACCAUAAUAUAUUUUCUCGUUUUAUAAUAAUAACAAUGACUGAAUUAAAAAUAUUUGAAUUUGAAUAAAAACAUAUGUUGUACUUUCAUAAGCAAUAUGUGUAUGCACGUUAUAUGAACCUGUAAGCAAAAGUCUUAUCUAUAAAUAUAAUUCAAUAUACUAUGGAUUUCAAUAUAUAUUUUUGCAUAUAUGCAAAUAAAGUAAGCAUUAUCAUUUACAGUAAAUGUUUAACAAUUUCAAUAUUGAUAUGCAUUAAUCAUCUAUUAACAACUAUACAUUUAUAAGUAGAUCUUACAUAAGUUAACCCCUUCACAGACUAGACACCAAAAAAAACUAAUAUUAACAUCACUUAAAUGACUAGUAACUACAUUAACAAAAAGUGCUAACAGAACUACAUGACUAGAUUAACACUACAACCAUAAUAUUAACAGUUAACAAGUUAGUUAUAUCCUCUACCAUUCAAUGAUUCAUACAUAAAGCACUAUAUAUCAUAAUUUAACACAUGAUUAUUUAAAAAUAUAAAUUUAUUGUGAUAAAUAUUCA
rnacentral:lncRNA from 1 species